rnacentral:rRNA from 1 species
UAGGGAAUCUUCGGCAAUGGACGAAAGUCUGACCGAGCAACGCCGCGUGAGUGAAGAAGGUUUUCGGAUCGUAAAGCUCUGUUGUAAGAGAAGAACGAGUGUGAGAGUGGAAAGUUCACACUGUGACGGUAUCUUACCAGAAAGGGACGGCUAACUACGUGCCAGCAGCCGCGGUAAUACGUAGGUCCCAAGCGUUGUCCGGAUUUAUUGGGCGUAAAGCGAGCGCAGGCGGUUAGAUAAGUCUGAAGUUAAAGGCUGUGGCUUAACCAUAGUACGCUUUGGAAACUGUUUAACUUGAGUGCAAGAGGGGAGAGUGGAAUUCCAUGUGUAGCGGUGAAAUGCGUAGAUAUAUGGAGGAACACCGGUGGCGAAAGCGGCUCUCUGGCUUGUAACUGACGCUGAGGCUCGAAAGCGUGGGGAGCAAACAGGAUUAGAUACCCUGGUAGUCCACGCCGUAAACGAUGAGUGCUAGGUGUUAGACCCUUUCCGGGGUUUAGUGCCGCAGCUAACGCAUUAAGCACUCCGCCUGGGGAGUACGACCGCAAGGUUG